rnacentral:rRNA from 1 species
GGUUAAGCGACUAAGCGUACACGGUGGAUGCCCUGGCAGUCAGAGGCGAUGAAGGACGUGCUAAUCUGCGAAAAGCGUCGGUAAGGUGAUAUGAACCGUUAUAGCCGGCGAUGUCCGAAUGGGGAAACCCAGUGUGAUUCGUCACACUAUCGUUAACUGAAUACAUAGGUUAACGAGGCGAACCGGGGGAACUGAAACAUCUAAGUACCCCGAGGAAAAGAAAUCAACCGAGAUUCCCCCAGUAGCGGCGAGCGAACGGGGAGCAGCCCAGAGUCUGAAUCAGCUUGUGUGUUAGUGGAACGGUCUGGAAAGUCCGACGGUACAGGGUGAUAGUCCCGUACACCAAAAUGCACAGGUUGUGAACUCGAAGAGUAGGGCGGGACACGUGGUAUCCUGUCUGAAUAUGGGGGGACCAUCCUCCAAGGCUAAAUACUCCUGACUGACCGAUAGUGAACCAGUACCGUGAGGGAAAGGCGAAAAGAACCCCGGCGAGGGGAGUGAAAAAGAACCUGAAACCGUGUACGUACAAGCAGUGGGAGCACCUUCGGGUGUGACUGCGUACCUUUUGUAUAAUGGGUCAGCGACUUAUAUUCUGUAGCAAGGUUAACCGUAUAGGGGAGCCGCAGGGAAACCGAGUCUUAACUGGGCGUUAAGUUGCAGGGUAUAGACCCGAAACCCGGUGAUCUAGCCAUGGGCAGGUUGAAGGUUGGGUAACACUAACUGGAGGACCGAACCGACUAAUGUUGAAAAAUUAGCGGAUGACUUGUGGCUGGGGGUGAAAGGCCAAUCAAACCGGGAGAUAGCUGGUUCUCCCCGAAAGCUAUUUAGGUAGCGCCUCGUGAAUUCAUCUUCGGGGGUAGAGCACUGUUUCGGCUAGGGGGUCAUCCCGACUUACCAACCCGAUGCAAACUACGAAUACCGAAGAAUGUUAUCACGGGAGACACACGGCGGGUGCUAACGUCCGUCGUGAAGAGGGAAACAACCCAGACCGCCAGCUAAGGUCCCAAAGUCAUGGUUAAGUGGGAAACGAUGUGGGAAGGCACAGACAGCCAGGAUGUUGGCUUAGAAGCAGCCAUCAUUUAAAGAAAGCGUAAUAGCUCACUGGUCGAGUCGGCCUGCGCGGAAGAUGUAACGGGGCUAAACCAUGCACCGAAGCUGCGGCAGCGACACGAUGUGUUGUUGGGUAGGGGAGCGUUCUGUAAGCCUGCGAAGGUGACCUGUGAGGGUUGCUGGAGGUAUCAGAAGUGCGAAUGCUGACAUAAGUAACGAUAAAGCGGGUGAAAAGCCCGCUCGCCGGAAGACCAAGGGUUCCUGUCCAACGUUAAUCGGGGCAGGGUGAGUCGACCCCUAAGGCGAGGCCGAAAGGCGUAGUCGAUGGGAAACAGGUUAAUAUUCCUGUACUUGGUGUUACUGCGAAGGGGGGACGGAGAAGGCUAUGUUAGCCGGGCGACGGUUGUCCCGGUUUAAGCAUGUAGGCUGGUUAUCCAGGCAAAUCCGGAUAAUCAAGGCUGAGGUGUGAUGACGAGGCACUACGGUGCUGAAGUAACAAAUGCCCUGCUUCCAGGAAAAGCCUCUAAGCAUCAGGUAACAUCAAAUCGUACCCCAAACCGACACAGGUGGUCAGGUAGAGAAUACCAAGGCGCUUGAGAGAACUCGGGUGAAGGAACUAGGCAAAAUGGUGCCGUAACUUCGGGAGAAGGCACGCUGGUGUGUAGGUGAAGUCCCUGCGGAUGGAGCUGAGACCAGUCGAAGAUACCAGCUGGCUGCAACUGUUUAUUAAAAACACAGCACUGUGCAAACACGAAAGUGGACGUAUACGGUGUGACGCCUGCCCGGUGCCGGAAGGUUAAUUGAUGGGGUUAUCCGUAAGGAGAAGCUCUUGAUCGAAGCCCCGGUAAACGGCGGCCGUAACUAUAACGGUCCUAAGGUAGCGAAAUUCCUUGUCGGGUAAGUUCCGACCUGCACGAAUGGCGUAAUGAUGGCCAGGCUGUCUCCACCCGAGACUCAGUGAAAUUGAACUCGCUGUGAAGAUGCAGUGUACCCGCGGCAAGACGGAAAGACCCCGUGAACCUUUACUAUAGCUUGACACUGAACAUUGAGCCUUGAUGUGUAGGAUAGGUGGGAGGCUUUGAAGCGUGGACGCCAGUCUGCGUGGAGCCAACCUUGAAAUACCACCCUUUAAUGUUUGAUGUUCUAACGUGGGCCCCUAAUCGGGGUUGCGGACAGUGUCUGGUGGGUAGUUUGACUGGGGCGGUCUCCUCCCAAAGCGUAACGGAGGAGCACGAAGGUUAGCUAAUCCUGGUCGGACAUCAGGAGGUUAGUGCAAUGGCAUAAGCUAGCUUGACUGCGAGCGUGACGGCGCGAGCAGGUGCGAAAGCAGGUCAUAGUGAUCCGGUGGUUCUGAAUGGAAGGGCCAUCGCUCAACGGAUAAAAGGUACUCCGGGGAUAACAGGCUGAUACCGCCCAAGAGUUCAUAUCGACGGCGGUGUUUGGCACCUCGAUGUCGGCUCAUCACAUCCUGGGGCUGAAGUAGGUCCCAAGGGUAUGGCUGUUCGCCAUUUAAAGUGGUACGCGAGCUGGGUUUAGAACGUCGUGAGACAGUUCGGUCCCUAUCUGCCGUGGGCGCUGGAGAAUUGAGGGGGGCUGCUCCUAGUACGAGAGGACCGGAGUGGACGCAUCACUGGUGUUCGGGUUGUCAUGCCAAUGGCACUGCCCGGUAGCUAAAUGCGGAAGAGAUAAGUGCUGAAAGCAUCUAAGCACGAAACUUGCCCCGAGAUGAGUUCUCCCUGAGACUUUAAGUCUCCUGAAGGAACGUUGAAGACGACGACGUUGAUAGGCCGGGUGUGUAAGCGCAGCGAUGCGUUGAGCUAACCGGUACUAAUGAACCGUGAGGCUUAACCUU